AGUCACGUGACGUCAUUGACAACCGUCAAUCGCAAUCGGAAAAGAACGUUCUGGUGCGUUAAGCGUUGGUUUUUCAAGCAAGAAAAAAUCUUUUAGGUUAAUCGACUUUUUGAAAUUAGCCUCAAAAUUUAGUUUUUCUCACUAUUACUAAAAUUGUUUGAAAAUCAGAGUGUUUGUAAAUAUUUUAUAUUGGAAUAGUUGCCGUCAAAAGCAGUAAUAAUAUUAGCACAGGUAAGAUUAAAGUUAGUAAUAUUUUUUAGUAUUAUCAUACUGCUUUAAUUAUAUCUAUUCUUAUUGUUAUGUCUCUAAGUAUUCGAGCUUUUUCUCUCUCUCUUUAAUUUGUAAUACUUUGUUUAUAGUUAAAAAAAGGAUGUUUGCACUUUUAUACUUUUCUAAAAUGAGAGCAUAUUUAAAAAUCAAUUAACAUAUCAUGCCUUCGAUAAUCCCCUUGUAAAAGUGUUUUUUAAAGUAUAGUAUUCACGAAACUUGAACUAUCAGCCUAGGUUCUCUACAUUCCCUUACAAUCGAACAGAUUUACUCAGUACCGAUCAGCUGAAUAGCUUGUGUUUGCACAGAAAAUAAACAACUUUAAUAGUAUUGUUCGUGUUUGUCUUCUUGCAGUAGAAGCCGUCAAAAAUUUGCAUUGUUUUAUUGAAAAUACUCAAAAUUAAUGGAUAGUAUUAUCUGUUUUCUUUACAAUGAUAAGAAAUUUUUACCGCAUACGAGCUGAAUUUAUCGCUACUUAAUCAUUGAAAUACUUACUUAUAAUUGAGAUAAUUCAACAAAGAUAUUUGAAUUUUUCGAUAAUCAAUUAUUCCAUAUGAGGUCUACAAAGUACAGUCCAUUGAGGAAUAUUUAAUAAGAUAUACUUAUUAAAAAAACAACGUUAUUACCCUAUAGAAACGACUGGAGGAACGGGAGGGUAAGUGUGUAUUAAAAGGGCUGGUGAAAGGCGAUAUGAGUCCUUGUAGAAGAAAAGGUCUGCUAGAAAAGAAAACAACUUAUGCAUAUUUAUUGAAAACCAUUUUUGUAUAAUCAUUCAUUAAUUAUAAUUAAAAUAAUUAAGUCUUUUUAUUAGUAAUAGUAUAAACCAUUCUUACAAACAACACGUUAUUUGUGAAUAGGUGGGUCAUAUGAAAAAUUUUAUUAAUCAAUUAUUUCGCAGGCACUUGAAUAAAAUACAAUAUCGGCGUUCAAUAAUCUAUUGUAUAGAAUAAUUAAGGUUUUUGACAUGUAAUUUCGAGCGGUUAAAAAGACUGGGAACUCUUUAUCGAUUUCAUCAUUAGCAUUGUUUCCAGUUUACAUUCCCUUUUCAUAAAUUCCUAAUAAAGAAGUUGACUUUUUACUCUUUAGUUAGUAUUUAUUAUUUAAAAGAAAAGAGAAUAUCUACUUAUUUCUUAUCGGUUUAUUCCGUAACAACGACAGUUUUAUAAUUCGAACUCGGAUUACAAAACCACGAAAUCUUAUACAAUAUACACAAUUUACUGUAUGGUUUAUGCAAUAUAUAUAUAUAUAUAUAUCCUUUGUGUAUUUAUUUUCCUCCAGGACAAUCAUGGCGUCAAGUGCCCUUCCAAAACUAGCGCCAGCAACAAAAACCUCCGCACAUCUCUAUGAAACUUAUCCUAGGCCACUGAAAACUGCUCCUGAGAUCCAAUUGCCAAGAGUAAAUCCAUUAAGACCAAUGCCACCUUUAAGGAGGACUGUAGCCCUUGAAACAAUGAUUCCUCAUUAUCAUAAUGAGCAAAGAGCAAAAUUAAUGCAAAGAAGAGAACAUCAUCGAUAUCACAAUGCGUGGGGGAGAUAUUAUUACGGUUCAAAUGCUGAUAAGGAGUCUUAUAGGUCGUAUGUGAGGAAUGUUCUUAAACAGCAAAUGGCCGAUAAAGAAAGAAACGUAAAAGAAGGUUUAAACUCAAAAAUUGAAGAAUCUGAAAAUGCUGUUAAAUACGAUCGACAAUGUUUAACUGAUGAUGCCAGAGAUGCUUACAGAAAAUUUGUCUAUUUAAAAGGCUUUACGGCCGAAAAUAAAAAGAUGAUGGAAGAUAGCUGGAGCGAUAGACGAAGAAUUAAAAGUCUCGAAAACGAACACGAUAGAGAGUUAUUAAAAUAUAAUCCAAUUAACUGGAGCUGUACGCUUAAAUAAUUGGAUGCAUGAUAUUUUUAUAUAUUGACGAAUAAUCAUCGGAGAUGAAGAAACAAUGAAUGACAAAAAAAGGAUGCUAUACAAUAGAAGAACUCAACAAAAUUUAUAUAUAUAUAUAAAAAAAACACUAAACUACAAAAGUAAACAAGAUAAAAACCGUAGUCCUUGUAUUCUUCCUCUGCUGUAUAUUUCAGUAUUAUGUUCGAGUGCCAACGAAGCGAAAAAAAAAUACUUUCUUUCCUAAAAUAUAUAAGAAAGAUCUUUUUUUCAUUUUUGUAUUAUUAAUUCAACUAUAUUAACUUUACAAGUAUUAUUUUAGAUAUUAAAUAGUCUCUAUACAAUGUAUACUAUAAUAUAAAGCAGUAUUAUUAAUAUAAAAAGAUAUAUCCAAUAGAUGGCAGUUAAAUGAAUAUCAACUUAAUAAUUAUGUAAAAACUAUGAAUAAGAUACUUUAAGAGGAUGAACAAAUGGGUAUCUAUUAUUUGUAUAUUUAAUUAAAGAGAGUAUAACUAUACUGUAUAGCAAUAACGAUAAUAAAUAAUUGUUAAAAUAAUGAAAGAACACGAUUACUUCUUUGUAUUUCUUAGACGAUUACAAACAAGAAGUAACCCCCAUUACCUUUUCAUUAUAUUUAAA
rnacentral:misc_RNA from 1 species